CAGGCUGCCCCGAGAGCCCCGGCAGUGAGGCGCUCCUCGCCGUGUCCUGGCGGCUGCGGCCCUCUGGCCUCCCGACGCUCUCCCACACCCGGCUGCAGCCGGUCGCCCCCAGUCCCGACCCUUCAGUGCUGCCUGUGGGGUCCUGUGGGAUAAGGCUGCUUCCUUUCGCCCAGGAAAGCUCGUCUUGUCUUCACAUCCUUCACCCUCAGCCUUCCUGCUUCCUGAACCUCUUCAUUGUGGUCUCUUCUCUGAACAGACUCCAAUCUGUGUACCUACAGGCAUUACAAGCGCUUUCUGUCUGUCAACCUGCCUUCUUCCAUCAAGUCUGAGACACAAACCUGGGAGAUACGGGUCAUCAUCCCUGCUUCACUUAGGAUGGAACUGAGGUCCGGUGAGUCGACUCCGCGUGCUCGUGGUCUCCCUGCGGGACUGGCAGCGGUAGCACCUGCUCUGAUCUGCCAGCAGUCUCCUUCCCAUCCCUCCAUUCAUCAGCUGCUUGUUAAAUACCUGUCCUUGGCCCUGGGGAUGAAAUGACCUUGAUGCUGAUCCCCCCUAAACAACGGGCUGCCCUCUGUGGCCCAAGAAUAGACUUCCUGCCUGGGAGAAUCAGCAUCAGCACUGCCCUGUGCAGACAGCAUCGCUUUGGCGCUCCCCACUUGCUGUUGUCACAUGUGUGUGUGUCCCCCCGACCUGUUCCCGUGGGCUCCUGGUGUCCUCGCGGUCCUCACCCUGACCCCGGCCUUAGAAGGGGUUGGUAUGGGUGGUGCUCACACGUAGUAGGUGCCAAAUAAAUACCUGCUGAGUGCAUGAAAUGCUCAUUCGCUAAAUCAGAAGUGACGCCCUCUGGGCUGAAAGGUAGAGCUCCAGGAAGGAAAAAUCAGACAAAAAUGAGAGAAGAGGAGGCUGUCUUUCUAGCUGGCCAGAAAAUCAAAUUGUCCCUGGUCAUUUCAGGGGUGACAGAGGUGCCUGAAUCAACUUCAUGUCCAGUGGGACUCUGACGUUCUCUGAACUGGAGUGGAAUUGCUCUGAGUGUGUGUGGCCUCUGAAAUCUUCUCAGCUCUCUGGGCAGUUGUGGGACCCCUUCUGAUUCAUACUGAGCUUGAGGCCCCUCUGAGACCCCCACAUGUUUUCUACUUAGACUGUUACUGAGGCAGAUGGCUUUCAGUCUGUACCGUUUUCAGACCUACGUCCGGGGUUUUGCGAUUGUGUCACUUCUCACCUGUUCUCUGAGUGUGGGUUGUUUUGUCUUAGUUGACCCUCCCAGCGUGUGUCACCCACAAACCUGAUUAGCAUGCUUUCUGAUCAUUUUUAACAUUCAAGUAAUUGAUAAAACUGUCAGGACAGGGGAGGCAAGGACAGAGUGCAGAGGUGUCUCGCCAGAAGCAGGCCUUCAGGGUGCCCUCGAUCAACAUUUUCUUGAUCAGUGAAGAUUUGGCCCAACUGUAUUAUGGUAUUGUCCAUAUUUCUCGCUUGGCUACAAGAGUAUUGUAAGAAUCACUGCCAAAUUUCUUACUGAAAUCUACAUACUUUCCAAAUGGAAAUUGUAAAUUUGGCUUGGAUACUUGGGGUGGAACCAUGGAGAAUAGGGUCACCACUUCACGUUAUAAGGAGCUCUUGCUUCUGGACUGCCUUUCCCUCUCUGCAGGAGGCUGGAAGAGCGGCCCCUGACCCCAUAGAUUGCCUGCUGACGCCUGAUGGAAUGAUGGACCUGCGGACAGCCUUCUGUUUACACGUUUAGGAACCUCAGCCCAAAGCCUUGACUGAGUUCACUGGGGGAUGCCCUCUGGAUUGGAGAGGAUGAAAUGCUUUGAGUGAGGGGGUGAGGCUUUGAACAGUACCUCACUGCUUGAGCUUGGAGCAGUGACCUCAGUAGGGCUCUGAGGUCCUCUGGAGACCCAGAGAAGGAACCGAGCACCAUCUCUGAGCACUAGUCUUGUUUCUUCAUCAACCCGCUUGCCCCAAACGUGCACCGACGAUGAUGAAGGUCAUGGUCACCCUCUCUCAGUAGAGCCUGGGCUCCCGUCUAGGGUGCGGGUGAGGCCACCUACUGCUCUGAAUCGUAGCGAGGACAUGUGCUUGGGUCAUGGGCAGAAAUACCCCCUCUUGCUGCCCCUCACUGCUGAUGGGGUGUUUCCCUGCCCCGUAGGUUUCAGGCGUGGCAGGUGCUUGGCCUCACAGGGGGAGAACACCUUCCUGUCCCUUAACUUGGGGCUUGGCCAGUGGGAUAUUAGUAGAUAGGAUAAAACAGAGGCUUGUGAGGUGGGCCCAGGCUUUUCCCCUCUGCCCGGGCCGUGAGAAGAACCUUCCUGGAGUAGGUGAUGAGAGCACAUAAAGCAGGCUCCAGCUGACCCACAGGCCCGCAGCCCAGCUCAGCCCGGACAGCCUGAGAGGAGUGAGAAAGAGGUCUUGUGCACGAGGAAGAAACCUCAGAUGUGCUCUGCGGUCACACUGUCACUGCAGCAACACAGGGCUGUUCACCAGACUGCCCACCACAGCUGCGCCCUUAGGAAAUGCUGCAUAAAAGCCUGUUGGGCUGAACUGGAUGGAAAACACCCUCUUGUCUCAGGCAGCUUCAGAGCAAGGCUCUUGCUGAAGGGCCCCAGCUUGCAAUUUAAUCUGUCAGGCACUUGUCCACAGCUCUGAACCUCAGUUCCUCUGUGGUGGUUAAACAUUGACAUGCACACCUGCCCACACAUGUAUUGCCUGUGCACCAGGACCUAGCCUGCAGCAUCCCAUGCCUGGAAGGGCUGAGCUAUUUUGAAACCAGACCAAUCAAGGGCAUGAGGCCCUGAGGCUGAAGGAACACCCAGCCGUUCUAAAACCACAGAUUCUUCAAAUGUGCAACCCUGGGGCCCCCCCAAGGCACGCGGGCCAGGUCCAGCUGAUGACUCAGAGGGGGCGGCUGCAGGCUCCUGGCUAAGAGCACCUGGUGUGGCUUCUGUGGGAAGGCGGCCAAGCGGUGCUGGUUCUGGAUGAGCGCCGGACGCGCCCCGUAUCACCUGUGCACGAUGGCCACGCCAGGUGACCCGGCCAAGGAGGUUCCUGUCCCUGGGAAGGCACAGGAGCCUGGAUGUCAGACACGCUUGGUGGCUGCUAGCGCUGUGGACCAGGAACGCACGCUCCCCACAGGACGUCUCCAUGAGAGGCCCUCCUGGGCACCCCAAGUAAACAAACGCUUAAGGGAAACUUCCGCACUUGUCAGGCCCCUGGACCCACAGGUGACUUUAGGGACAUCUGUGACUGGUGUGUGAGGGGCUUGGCAGGAGGGAUGCUGCCCCGGGAUGAGCUGGGAAGGGGUCUGACCCAGGUGAAGGGGUCCUGUUCCAGGACUGCUGGGGGCAUGAAUCAUCUCAGCACUUGUGCUCAGACCCAUCAGUGCGUCUGAUGAGCCCCUGUCUCUCAGCACGGCCCCCACAGGCAGGACGCAGGACAGAUGAGUGAGGGUGUAAGGAGAGGGGUUUAGGGGCGCCUCUUCAGGAGGACAGGGCAGUGUGGACUGGCAGAGGGGAGCCCAGGAUUACCAUGGGGCAGCUGGCAGCCAAGGGGCUGGGACAGCAAAAGACCAUGGAGGGGAAGAGAAACUUCACUGGCUCAUUUGCCUGGUUCCCAAAUGCUGUGUGCCAGGUCUGACGCCGGCAUUGGAGUCAGGGUGCAAUGACCAACGGCUCUCCUCCUCUGCCAGCUUCAGGGUCUUUUCUGUCUGGCCCUGGGGCACACACCCAUCCCCUUGCCCAUCUUACCUGCAUCAUAAUUCAUGAUUCAGAAUUCGGAGCUGACAUGCUGGCAACUCUGAUCCCCGAAACACUAGGGGUCUAGAGUAGGAGAGCUCCCCAAGGAAGCACGAGCAGUGGGUGUGCAAGGAGGAACAGGCUGGGCUGAAGGGGGCUGCGUCUGCUCACCUGGAUGGAGCAAGGGGCCUUGGUGACAGAUGGCCGAGCGUUUGCUCUGGUUCUUGGGGAAAUGCAGCCUAUGGUGGAGCCAUAAUAACACAUAUCAUCUCCUCCCUGGGAAGGAGAAACAGUUGCACCUUCCUGCUUAUUAAUCACAUCUUCCAUUAAUCAGGUAACUCACCAUAAUUGUGAUUACAGUUGGGAAUCAAUUAAUGUUCACCUUAAAGUGUAGAGAGGAAAGCAAUUAACGUAAUAGAGUUAGAGCAUCAAAAUGACACAAAUGUUAUUGACAAUUAUGAGUCCCAUCGUACAGCUUUCUGGGUCUCUGCUCUUUCAUGGAGAGGUUUGCCGUGGAGGAGGGGAAGCUGGGAAAUGCGAGCCCCUGUCCCCACCAUCCGUCCGUGUCCCCAAGAGCAGCGUGCCUGUGGGUCCCGGGCCGUCUCCUCCCUCCAGCUUGCGGCUCCACCUCCAGGCAGCCAGGCCCCGGCCUGCAGGGGACAGGCCCCAGGGAGGGCCUGAGGUUCCCUGUCGGUCAGAGGGGCUGAUUUAUCUCUGUCUCGACCUCGCCUUUUGUCUCACAGCCAGGUCUGUGAUCUUUCAGAGGGAGGGCUUGGCUGUUGGUUUGGUGGGCAUCAUCUGGAAGAGAUUUUAAAUAUUAGUUAACCAAAACAGAAAAAUAGCAUUUGAAACUCAUAUUGUGCCUUUUAAAGAAGCCCUUGUCGCAUCUGUUCCUCCCAUUUUUUGUGUGUCCUCCCAAGAAUCCUGAGGAGAAAGGAUGGAUUCUCACUUUUUAGGUGGAGAGUGAAGUGUGAGUGAGUGAGUGGCCCAUCAAGGCCACACCAUGGGUUGGAGGUGGGCUGGAACCAGGCAAGCUCCUCACCAUCACAUCAGGCCCAGCCAGAAGUUCCCGCCCACCUCUGCUGGUGGUGGCUCACGUUUAGAUUCCAGUCCCCAAAGCCUCCUGCUCCGGACUGCAGGCUCAGGACACAUUCCAGGUGACGGUAACCCCCCUGAGUUCCGUCUGUCCCAGGCCUUAGACUGCUUCAGCGGAACCGAGGAAACAGUGCAAAGGAAAAUUUGGAAGUGAAGAAUUCAGAUUCAGCUGGAAGAGCUCUGAGGGGCAGUCAGACCCACCCCUUUUCCAGAUGAGGAAACUGAAGCCUGGGGAGGGAGGGGCUGGUGGAGAGGGAACAGGGUCCAUUCUGGGCUUUGGACGGAAACCUCACCGCCUCCCCGGGCAGGGGAAGGGCUGGGUUGUGACCUAGGAGAAAAUGAAGCUGCAACAGAAAAAUC